rnacentral:rRNA from 1 species
UACGUAGGGUGCGAGCGUUAAUCGGAAUUACUGGGCGUAAAGCGUGCGCAGGCGGUUCGUUAAGUCAGCUGUGAAAGCCCCGAGCUUAACUUGGGAAUUGCGGUUGAAACUGGCGGACUAGAAUCUGGCAGAGGGGGGUGGAAUUCCACGUGUAGGCAGUGAAAUGACGUAGAGAUGUGGAGGAACACCGAUGGCGAAGGCAGCCCCCUGGGCCUGAGAUUGACGCUCAGGCACGGAAAGC